rnacentral:lncRNA from 1 species
GAAACCACAAGUAUCAUGAAGUAAUUUUGAUAACAAAUCUAGCGAUAAUAAUUUGAUGUCAUAUAAAGCACAUCUUGAUAUAGUAAUUUGUGGUCAAAAUCUUGUCUUAAUGAAAACUAAUAUGACAUCAUUUAAGGAACGGAAAGAGUAAAUGCAUGCCAACUAGACAUUUUGGUGACAUGACAUAGCAAUAAAUGAAAAAAGAGAGAGACAGAUGUAGUAACUAAAUAUGUUACCAUAACAUCAUACAAAUCAAUACAAAAUUAGUCUACACCAUAAUAAAUAACACAAUACAUGACAUGACAUGUAAGUUACUCCUCACUAUGAAGGUGCGUAGUAUUAACUUAGACUAAUAACAAAGACAUGUUACUAGUCUAAGUUACUAAUAUAUACUAUGACCAGACUGAGGGUCGCCGGUGUCAGUUUUCUAUUCUGCAAUCGAGAUCUCUUUUUGGAUCUGAACUAAAUCUGGAAAUGGAUGGGUCGAGUCCUCGAUUAAGACGGUGUCACUUAACAUUUAUUUUUCUACCAUUCGUAGGUGUUAAUGUUUCGUAAAUACCACUGUGCUAGAUUCCAAAAGUACGUCAGCCAUUUAAAAUCAGGAAAAAAAAAUUUAAAAAAAAGAGGGCAUCCCCACAUAGCCAUUCAAAUCAGGAUAUGUUGGGUGAUAUAGUGAAAAGAUAUAUGGCGUGUGACCCAAGUACUGCACGUGCUAUUUAUUUUUGACAAAGAUCGAUGUGCUUUCCUUACGUUCGUGGCUUCCAUGUACAAACUGUGUGGUCAACUGGACCACACAACUCAACUGAGCACACAAUUAUGCAACUGCCACAGCUUCCUAGCUUAAAGUCAGCCCAUUCGAUACAAAGAAUAUGGCAUGAACGUGGACACGUACAUCUGUCAUGCGAUUAUACAGGCGUGAGCAAAGAAUCUUCACAUGUGCAGUAUCCAUGUGGUAGCCAUUAUCUACGC